rnacentral:rRNA from 1 species
AUUGAACGCUGGCGGCAUGCCUUACACAUGCAAGUCGAACGGUAACAGGUCUUCGGAUGCUGACGAGUGGCGAACGGGUGAGUAAUACAUCGGAACGUGCCUAGUAGUGGGGGAUAACUACUCGAAAGAGUGGCUAAUACCGCAUGAGAUCUACGGAUGAAAGCAGGGGAUCGCAAGACCUUGUGCUACUAGAGCGGCCGAUGGCAGAUUAGGUAGUUGGUGGGAUAAAAGCUUACCAAGCCGACGAUCUGUAGCUGGUCUGAGAGGACGAUCAGCCACACUGGGACGGAGACACGGCCCAGACUCCCACGGGAGGCAGCAGUAGGGAAUUUUGGACAAUGGGCGCAAGCCUGAUCCAGCAAUGCCGCGUGCAGGAUGAAGGCCUUCGGGUUGUAAACUGCUUUUGUACGGAACGAAAAGCCCUGGGUUAAUACCCUGGGGUCAUGACGGUACCGUAAGAAUAAGCACCGGCUAACUACGUGCCAGCCGCCGCGGUAA